rnacentral:rRNA from 1 species
CAGCCUGGGAUAAUACCCUGGGCGACUGACGGUACCUGCAGAAUAAGCACCGGCUAACUACGUGCCAGCACCCCCGGUAAUACGUAGGGUGCAAGCGUUAAUCGGAAUUACUGGGCGUAAAGCGUGCGCAGGCGGUUCGGAAAGAAAGGUGUGAAAUCCCAGGGCUUAACCUUGGAACUGCACUUUUAACUACCGAGCUAGAGUACGUCAGAGGGGGGUAGAAUUCCACGUGUAGCAGUGAAAUGCGUAGAGAUGUGGAGGAAUACCGAUGGCGAAGGCAGCCCCCUGGGAUGAUACUGACGCUCAUGCACGAAAGCGUGGGGAGCAAACAGGAUU